rnacentral:rRNA from 1 species
AGCGUAGACGGAGUGGCAAGUCUGAUGUGAAAACCCGGGGCUCAACCCCGGAACUGCAUUGGAAACUGUCAAUCUAGAGUACCGGAGAGGUAAGCGGAAUUCCUAGUGUAGCGGUGAAAUGCGUAGAUAUUAGGAGGAACACCAGUGGCGAAGGCGGCUUACUGGACGGUAACUGACGUUGAGGCUCGAAAGCGUGGGGAGCAACA